GCGACAUCUAACGUAUAUAGCUAUGGGCGCUAACUAGUAUUCACGUCGUAUCAUGCUUAACUCUUUUUCUCCUUUUACGCACUUUGAAAGUCUAUUGUGAGUUACACAAUGCAGCAUUUAGCUCGCUCGUAAACAUCGCUUAUGUCCUCAGGUCACUGUCUGAGCAGAAGUUUCAUCAUUAGCCCUGACUGUCAGAUGCUCUUCAUCUCAGGAGCUGUAUUUUUAAAUGCUUGAUAACAGAUAUAAGCGAGAAGAGGCUGAAUCCGAAGCCUGAGAAGAAGCAGAGAAACAGAGGAUCGAACGAGAGAAACACUUCCAGAAAGAGGAGCUGGAACACUAGGAAAGAAAGAAGGUAAAACAAAAGUUCACCAAUCAAGCUAAACACAGCAUCACGCUCUCUCAUUCACACACACACACAUACGUGUGCUGGCUCGCUCAGGAGCGAUAUUGUUAGACCGCCCGCUCCCGUUUAAAUUACACCAGUUACCGACCGCUCCCAUGCUUUAUUCGGAAAUUUAUUCCCACGCCGCACGAAAUCUGGUACAGUCGCGGGAAUGCAGACCUCUAAUCUGGCAUUACGGUGGCUCAGUGGUUAGCACUGUCGCCUCAAAGAAAGAAGGUUGCUGGUUCGAGUCCCGGCUGGGUCAGUUGGCAUUUCUGUGUGGAGUUUGCCUGCUCUAAGUGUGUGUGAAUGAGUAUCUAUGGAUGUUUCCCAGUACUGCUUUGCAGCUGGAAGGGCAUCCAAUGUGUAAAACAUAUGCUGGAUAAGUUGGCGGUUCAUUCUGUUGUGGUGACCUCUGAUAAAUAAAGGGACUAAACUGAAGGAA
ensembl:processed_transcript